UUUUACGACCAUUACAACUAUAUGGAAACCAGGCUUAAGAUUUACAGUCGUGCCAAAUCAAAUCAAAUAAGAAUUUAUUCAAAGUACCUAUUACAAAAGUAUCUAGGUCUUUGCAGGGGAAAUCCUGAGGUUAGCCCUAUGUAUGGAUUCCCUUACCUUACGAUAAUCUAAUUAUAAAACACAAUAGAUACACCACUCGACAUUAGAUAAUUCAAUGCAAUUUCAUGUGUAGUUUUAAAUUGUUCUUGAAGUUCUUAAUAUUAUCAGCUUCAACUUCUGAUCUAGGUAAAUUAUUCCAUAAACUAAUAAUCCUUACAAAAAACGAAUGCUUAAAACAAUUAAUUCUUGGUCGUUUAGGUGGUUCUUGUAGCGCGAUACUGUUUAUAUUCAAAUACUUCUGCGAAUGAUAUACCAUUAAGCUAGACCGAAAACGGUUUUAUAACACUCGACCAGAGAUAGGAAUUCUCUUCGUUUCUGUAGAGUGUUCCAUUUUAAUAAUUCACAUCGGUCUUCGUAUGGCAUAUCACCUCGUCUUUGUUUUUCACCUAGUCUGGAUGCUCGUCUCUGAACUGCCUCUAAUGCUUGUAUAUCUUUCGCUAAGUGUGGCGACCACACCGGCGUGUGGCGACCAAUAGAAGCGUUUCGGAAUUCUAGUUUUAUUGACCAAUCAGAUUGCUCAAAAAUAGAAUAUAAAAUUUGAUUGGUCAACGAAACAGGAAGUUAGAAACUUUUU